UGAGGAAUAUUGGUCAAUGGGCGAGAGCCUGAACCAGCCAAGUAGCGUGCAGGAUGACGGCCCUAUGGGUUGUAAACUGCUUUUAUGUGGGGAUAAAGUGCGUGACGUGUCAUGCAUUGCAGGUACCACAUGAAUAAGGACCGGCUAAUUCCGUGCCAGCAGCCGCGGUAAUACGGAAGGUCCGGGCGUUAUCCGGAUUUAUUGGGUUUAAAGGGAGCGUAGGCUGUCUAUUAAGCGUGUUGUGAAAUAUACCGGCUCAACCGGUGGCUUGCAGCGCGAACUGGUCGACUUGAGUAUGCAGGAAGUAGGCGGAAUUCAUGGUGUAGCGGUGAAAUGCUUAGAUAUCAUGAAGAACUCCGAUUGCGAAGGCAGCUUACGGGAGCGCAACUGACGCUGAAGCUCGAAGGUGCGGGUAUCGAACAGG
rnacentral:rRNA from 1 species